CACUUCUAUGUGUACUCUCCCAUGUUGCUUCCCCAGACCAGUGGCCACUGCUGCCAGUCCGGCCUCUUAACGGGUUUCUGGUCUGAGAUGUCUGGGGAAGGUCCAUUAUUAAACUUUUAAACCAAUUGCCAGUCUGAGAAGGCCAUGUGCCGUAAUCUUUAAAACAUAUUAAAACUUUCAACAACGGAUCUCUUGGCUCUCGCAUCGAUGAAGAACGCAGCGAAAUGCGAUAAGUAAUGUGAAUUGCAGAAUUCAGUGAAUCAUCGAAUCUUUGAACGCACAUUGCGCCCUUUGGUAUUCCUUAGGGCAUACCUGUUCGAGCGUCACUAAAAACCAUCUCAUAUAGAAUGUGGUAUUGGUAGAAGUGGGUAGUAUUAAUAGUACUUUGUCUUACUCUACUGAAAUGCAUAGGCCAGAAAAGUGGACCAUGGUAACAGACUCUCAGAGUGUUUUAAAAUGCUAAAUUAGUCUUACCACAGUUGAUAUCUGAGCUACCGGAUCCCCAUUUAGUCCAAACCAGAGAGGUUGACCUCGGAUCAGGUAGGGAUACCCGCUGAACUUAAGCAUAUC
rnacentral:rRNA from 1 species